AUCGGAAAUCCAAGUGACAGUCCGCUCCAUUACUCCUCCGAGUCCAACGUAUGUCUACCUGUCCGCCACAAAGACUGGAUUCAAUGAUUGACAAGAGCCCCCUCAAACACUUUCCAGCUCCGGUUCACCAGUUCUCUGAGUCCCAGAUCCAACCUCCGUUCACAUUGCUACAAAUAAACCUGUUAAACUUU